rnacentral:rRNA from 1 species
GUUAACGGCCAUACCCUGUACACAAAACCCGGUCCCGUCAGCUCGCGGUCGUUUAGCUUCGUCGGGUCCCGUUGGUACUUAGGAGGGUGACCACUUUGGAAUACGGGAUGCUGUGUGCA